AGAGUGUAAACAGCUCAGAUGAGAGUCUGCCUAUUAGGCACUUAAAACAAUAUUGAGACUGAAGAUCUUGUGCCUUUCUUCCAACACAAUUCAUUGAUUCUGCAGUGGAAGUGAUUUUAUUGAUUAGGUAGUCUUUCCUUCUCAAGUCAAGGGAGACAAGCUCAAGGAAGAGACAAAGUCAAGCAAGCUUGACCCACACUCCUGUGCUUCACAGGGACCCCUGGCCUCAGGCUAGUGCCACCAUCUUCAGGGUGGGUCUCUCAGCUUCAACUAAACCUCUCUAAAAAUCCUCAUGUUGACAUACCCAGAAGCAUGUCUCCCAGGAGAUUUUAAAUCUAGGCAGUGUCUAGAAGGUCUGGAUCAUGGCUGCAUCUUCGUAACUGUGUUUUCAAAUGAUACAUCAGCAUGCUCCCAUCUCAUGGCAUCACCAGAACCAGCACCAUCCUUCAUGCUCCUCACAUUUCCUGGUUUAGAAGAUCAAAAGCUGCCAAAAAUUGUUUCAAAAGAAAAAUAAAUCUGAGAGAAGUUGAGUUCGGAAUUACAAGGGAGCUUGCCUGUGUCCACUACUCAAGGAGCCAAGUAAGAGGGGCUUGCACUGCAGAGCUGGCCUCUCUUCUCUGUUCCCCGAGCACCUAAGAAGCCCUCACUUAGCCUUGUCUCAUGAAGUCUAAUGAGACUAGUUCCCAAAUUAAACUUCACACAAAUGGAGCAGUCAGGAUCAUUUUCCAAAGAGUGUUUAGAAUAAAUGUCUGUCAGUUCCUGGCUAGCCCUACUUAGAUCUGGAAGAUGAGUUCGCAGACUUAAGAGCUUUGAAUGAAGAACUCAGGCUUCCUUUGGGAUCUAAACUCUGUCUCUCUGAGUCAUUGUUUUUCUCUCUCUCUCUCUUACACACACACACACACACACACACACACAGAGGCACACACACAGACACACAUAUACACAGACACACACAUACACACACACACACAUACACAUACACAGAGAGAGACACACAGAGACACACACACACACACACACACCUAUCACAGGUACCUUUCAGUAUUUCCAUUUUACCUGUUAAGGGUCUGACCAAGGCCAGUGAUGCUUCCUAUCUUGACCUGGGAUGGUCAACAGAUUGGAAUCCUUGUCCCUUCAUGUUUCUUGUAGACAUUGGAUUUUGAAGAAGAAUCAGGUCUUAGGAACUAAAGGUAAGACCCUCAUGGGUAGAGAUUGAGCACCUGCCUGAAAUCAGAAAUCUAAGAAGGAGGAGAAGAUCCAACACCUCCCAAGAUGUCCUGGGAUGAAGAUGAGAUUGGGUAGAGAACUUCAAGUACAUGGUCCCCACAUCCUAAUGACUUGGGACUCACUAUUGGAGGUAGAUCUUCCUCCAACCACUAAUUCAGCUGUCUGUAAGAUUCCACACAAAAAUUAGGUGCCAAUAGUUAGAAAAUGUCCAGCAAAACAGGUUAGUGGCAGAAAGAUUAGAAAAUAAUGUCAUAAAUGAAGAAAAAUUAGCAUCAUCUAUAAACCUCUUCCAGUCUGAGAACACAGGGGCAACAUUCAAUAUCAUAUUAAAUUGUGGGUGUGCUUUGAUAUUACAUAUGACAUGCUAGUCAUAUAUACAAAAGCACGUGUGUGUGUAUGUGCACAGUACAAGCUAUUGCAUGUAUUGACAAGCCCCACCUUAUGAAAUGUCAGCCUCUGAUUCUUUGAGCUUUCUUCUUUAUAUUGAUGCAAAAGCAGUGACUGUUUGGUGGAAACUCCCAUUCAGUUUUGAAUUUGGACUUUUUUUUCUUGGCUGUACUAUAAUAAUCAAAAUUCAACCACUAAUACUAAUUAGUAAUUCCUCC
ensembl:lincRNA 2700089I24Rik RIKEN cDNA 2700089I24 gene